CAUGCAAGUCGAGGGGCAGCAUUUCAGUUUGCUUGCAAACUGGAGAUGGCGACCGGCGCACGGGUGAGUAACACGCUAUCCAACCUGCCGAUAACUCGGGGAUAGCCUUUCGAAAGAAAGAUUAAUACCCGAUGGUAUAAUCAGACCGCAUGGUCUUAUUAUUAAAGAAUUUCGGUUAUCGAUGGGGAUGCGUUCCAUUAGGCAGUUGGUGAGGUAACGGCUCACCAAACCUUCGAUGGAUAGGGGUUCUGAGAGGAAGGUCCCCCACAUUGGAACUGAGACACGGUCCAAACUCAUACGGGAGGCAGCAGUGAGGAAUAUUGGUCAAUGGGCGCAGGCCUGAACCAGCCAAGUAGCGUGAAGGAUGACUGCCCUAUGGGUUGUAAACUUCUUUUAUAUGGGAAUAAAGUUUUCCACGUGUGGAAUUUUGUAUGUACCAUAUGAAUAAGGAUCGGCUAACUCCGUGCCAGCAGCCGCGGUAAUACGGAGGAUCCGAGCGUUAUCCGGAUUUAUUGGGUUUAAAGGGAGCGUAGGUGGACAGUUAAGUCAGUUGUGAAAGUUUGCGGCUCAAACCGUAAAAUUGCAGUUGAUACUGGCUGUCUUGAGUACAGUAGAGGUGGGCGGAAUUCGUGGUGUAGCGGUGAAAUGCUUAGAUAUCACGAAGAACUCCGAUUGCGAAGGCAGCUCACUGGACUGCAACUGACACUGAUGCUCGAAAGUGUGGGUAUCAAACAGGAUUAGAUACCCUGGUAGUCCACACAGUAAACGAUGAAUACUCGCUGUUUGCGAUAUACAGUAAGCGGCCAAGCGAAAGCAUUAAGUAUUCCACCUGGGGAGUACGCCGGCAACGGUGAAACUCAAAGGAAUUGACGGGGGCCCGCACAAGCGGAGGAACAUGUGGUUUAAUUCGAUGAUACGCGAGGAACCUUACCCGGGCUUAAAUUGCAUUUGAAUANUNUGGAAACAGNUUAGCCGCAAGGCAAAUGUGAAGGUGCUGCAUGGUUGUCGUCAGCUCGUGCCGUGAGGUGUCGGCUUAAGUGCCAUAACGAGCGCAACCCUUAUCUUUAGUUACUAACAGGUCAUGCUGAGGACUCUAGAGAGACUGCCGUCGUAAGAUGUGAGGAAGGUGGGGAUGACGUCAAAUCAGCACGGCCCUUACGUCCGGGGCUACACACGUGUUACAAUGGGGGGUACAGAAGGCAGCUACCUGGUGACAGGAUGCUAAUCCCAAAAGCCUCUCUCAGUUCGGAUCGAAGUCUGCAACCCGACUUCGUGAAGCUGGAUUCGCUAGUAAUCGCGCAUCAGCCAUGGCGCGGUGAAUACGUUCCCGGGCCUUGUACAACACCGCCCGUCAAGCCAUGAAAG
rnacentral:rRNA from 1 species